GUUAUUAUUGCAUAACAACAAUUUUCAGGCUAUUGUUUAUAUAUUUAAGAGCGAAGAUCCAAGGAAGUCUUUGGUUAUCACUCUGCUUCUAAUUAAUUGUGUAUUGUUGGGCUUAUCGAUUCCCGCUUUAUUGAAGGUAAAAAAGACUUUGGUUUUUAUGGAUAGAAAUGAUAUGGCUUAUUCCGGUUCAAAUUGGUCUCAUUUUUCAUUCCGCAUUUUGGAUUGAAAUUUACGUGGCUCCCAUAAUGAUUUGCUUUGUGGCACAUUUACUUUUCAUCUCACACAUAAUAUGCACAUGUAUAAUAGAUGAAUAUAGAUAUUUGUAUGACCCAGAUAGUGUCAGAGCAUACCCAGAACAUCUGAGCCAAAACGUGCAUCUUGAAGCCAGGUUGGCUUCGUAUGUACCACCGCCCCCCUACCCGGGUGAUGGAAGCAAUUCGAAUAAAUUGGCAACCAUGGAUCAAGGUGGCAAAAACAAAUCGUUUUAUACACCACCGGCACCAUCAGCACCAUAUGACACAACACCAUUGCAACCUCCUACCACCAACAAUACACACGAAAGUUCAACUGGUUUAAAUGACGCUAAGAUGUAUGUUCCCGAUUAAAUGAACUUGGAUUCCACAUUCCGACCAAUUUACCAAUUUUAUUUUAAUAAUGAAAAUACCUCAGUGAAAAUGUCGAUUAAUUAAUGUCAGUGAAACUAAUAAUAAUAAAUAAAAAUAAAAUAAAAAAUAAUAAUAAUAACUGCA